rnacentral:misc_RNA from 1 species
GGAAUCUUGCGCAAUGCGCGAAAGCGUGACGCAGCAACGCCGCGUGGGGGAAGAAGGCCUUCGGGUUGUAAACCCCUUUCAGGAGGGACGAAGCGUGGGCGGUUAAUAGCCGAUCCACGUGACGGUACCUCCAGAAGAAGCCCCGGCUAACUACGUGCCAGCAGCCGCGGUAAUACGUAGGGGGCAAGCGUUGUCCGGAAUCAUUGGGCGUAAAGCGCGUGUAGGCGGUCCGGUAAGUCGGCUGUGAAAGUCCAGGGCUCAACCCUGGGAUGCCGGUCGAUACUGCCGGACUAGAGUUCGGAAGAGGCGAGUGGAAUUCCCGGUGUAGCGGUGAAAUGCGCAGAUAUCGGGAGGAACACCAAUGGCGAAGGCAGCUCGCUGGGACGUUACUGACGCUGAGACGCGAAAGCGUGGGGAGCAAACAGGA